UGUAAGCGUAUACCAAAGUUGUUGCAGUUAAAACGCUCGUAGUCGGAAUUUGGCAGUUCCGGAUGUGUGCACGUCGUGUGCGCACUUCGCGGGGAUUGCUUUUGUGGUCUUGCGUAGGAGGAGGCACUUUUAUUAGUGAACGUCCUCACGCAACCACUUUUUACUGUGAGAAAAUCAGAGUGCUCAAAGCAGGCAUUUGCCGUGAAUGUAUUAGCAUGGAAUAAUAGAAUAGGACUUGGUUCUAUUUUGUUGGUUUGUUGGGACUGAGUAAUGAUUAAGAGGGACAGUUGGGGGCAUUUGUAUUUCGGUGCUAGAGGUGAAAUUCUUAGAUUACCGAAAGACAAACUGCUGCGAAAGCGUCUGCCAAGGAUGUUUUCAUUGA
rnacentral:rRNA from 1 species